CGUAGGCGGAUUGUUAAGUCGGGGGUGAAAUCCCGGGGCUCAACCCCGGAACUGCCUCCGAUACUGGCAGUCUCGAGUCCGAGAGAGGUGAGUGGAAUUCCGAGUGUAGAGGUGAAAUUCGUAGAUAUUCGGAGGAACACCAGUGGCGAAGGCGGCUCACUGGCUCGGUACUGACGCUGAGGUGCGAAAGCGUGGGGAGCAAACA
rnacentral:rRNA from 1 species